rnacentral:rRNA from 1 species
UACGUAGGGUCCAAGCGUUGUCCGGAUUUAUUGGGUUUAAAGGGUGCGUAGGCGGCUUAUUAAGUCAGGGGUGAAAGACGGUGGCUCAACCAUCGCAGUGCCUUUGAUACUGAUGAGCUUGAAUAUACUAGAGGUAGGCGGAAUGUGACAAGUAGCGGUGAAAUGCAUAGAUAUGUCACAGAACACCGAUUGCGAAGGCAGCUUACUAUGGUAUUAUUGACGCUGAGGCACGAAAGCGUGGGGAUCAAACAGG